AUGGCAAUAGAAGACGAUACGACACUAGAGAGAACAUGGGUGCGAAGUUUCAAUCCUUUUAAGAUAGAAAUAUCUGUCAAAGACCUGCAAAACAUAUUAACGACAAAUCAAGAUAUGAUUCUAAGAUGUUUUGACAUGGCUGUUCGGCUGCUUGCCAAUAAAGAGUCACGUAGGCCGAAAGGAGAAAUCAUAAAUAAUAGAAAGCAUUAUAUGGACAUGCGUUUUUGGAGAAUGGUUGGUUUUGGUAAACUUCCAAAGUACCA